rnacentral:tRNA from 1 species
GGCCCCGUCGUCUAGUGGCCUAGGACGCCGGCCUCUCAAGCCGGUAACGCCAGUUCGAAUCUGGUCGGGGCUGCCA